GAUAGUGAACCAGUACCGUGAGGGAAAGGCGAAAAGAACCCCGGCGAGGGGAGUGAAAAAGAACCUGAAACCGUGUACGUACAAGCAGUGGGAGCCUCUUUUAUGGGGUGACUGCGUACCUUUUGUAUAAUGGGUCAGCGACUUAUAUUCUGUAGCAAGGUUAACCGAAUAGGGGAGCCGAAGGGAAACCGAGUCUUAACUGGGCGUUAAGUUGCAGGGUAUAGACCCGAAACCCGGUGAUCUAGCCAUGGGCAGGUUGAAGGUUGGGUAACACUAACUGGAGGACCGAACCGACUAAUGUUGAAAAAUUAGCGGAUGACUUGUGGCUGGGGGUGAAAGGCCAAUCAAACCGGGAGAUAGCUGGUUCUCCCCGAAAGCUAUUUAGGUAGCGCCUCGUGAAUUCAUCUCCGGGGGUAGAGCACUGUUUCGGCAAGGGGGUCAUCCCGACUUACCAACCCGAUGCAAACUGCGAAUACCGGAGAAUGUUAUCACGGGAGACACACGGCGGGUGCUAACGUCCGUCGUGAAGAGGGAAACAACCCAGACCGCCAGCUAAGGUCCCAAAGUCAUGGUUAAGUGGGAAACGAUGUGGGAAGGCCCAGACAGCCAGGAUGUUGGCUUAGAAGCAGCCAUCAUUUAAAGAAAGCGUAAUAGCUCACUGGUCGAGUCGGCCUGCGCGGAAGAUGUAACGGGGCUAAACCAUGCACCGAAGCUGCGGCAGCGACGCUUAUGCGUUGUUGGGUAGGGGAGCGUUCUGUAAGCCUGUGAAGGUGUGCUGUGAGGCAUGCUGGAGGUAUCAGAAGUGCGAAUGCUGACAUAAGUAACGAUAAAGCGGGUGAAAAGCCCGCUCGCCGGAAGACCAAGGGUUCCUGUCCAACGUUAAUCGGGGCAGGGUGAGUCGACCCCUAAGGCGAGGCCGAAAGGCGUAGUCGAUGGGAAACAGGUUAAUAUUCCUGUACUUGGUGUUACUGCGAAGGGGGGACGGAGAAGGCUAUGUUGGCCGGGCGACGGUUGUCCCGGUUUAAGCGUGUAGGCUGGUUUUCCAGGCAAAUCCGGAAAAUCAAGGCUGAGGCGUGAUGACGAGGCACUACGGUGCUGAAGCAACAAAUGCCCUGCUUCCAGGAAAAGCCUCUAAGCAUCAGGUAACAUCAAAUCGUACCCCAAACCGACACAGGUGGUCAGGUAGAGAAUACCAAGGCGCUUGAGAGAACUCGGGUGAAGGAACUAGGCAAAAUGGUGCCGUAACU
rnacentral:rRNA from 1 species